UUCCGGUUGAUCCUGCCGGACCCCACUGCUAUCGAGAUGGGACUAAGGUAUGCUAGUCGAACGACCAGAACUAUGUCUGGAAGUGGCACACUGCUCAGUAACACGUAGCUAACCUACCCUUAGGACGUGGAUACCCCCGAGAAAUUGGGGUUAAUCCGCGAUAGGUGUAAUGUCCUGGAAUGGUAUUACGCCUAAAGGUGUAUCAUACAUGUUUGAUAUACGCCUAAGGAUGGGGCUGCGGCCGAUCAGGCUGUUGGUGAGGUAAUGGCUCACCAAACCUUUGACCGGUACGGGCCAUGAGAGUGGUAGCCCGGAGAUGGACACUGAGACAAGGGUCCAGGCCCUAAGGGGCGCAGCAACCGCGAAACCUCCACAAUGCACUCACGUGCGAUGGGGCUAUCUCGAGUGCCACCUGAUGAAGGUGGCUUUUCCUAGGUCUUCAAAGCCUUGGGAAUAAGAGGGGGGCAAGACUGGUGUCAGCCGCCGCGGUAACACCAGCCCCUCGAGUGGUGGGGAUGAUUAUUUGGCCUAAAGCGUCCGUAGCCGGCCGAGCAAGUCUUCCGUUAAAUCCAGCGUCUCAAGCGUUGGACUGCGGGAGAUACUACACGGCUAGAGAGUGGGAGAGGUCAGCGGUAUUCUGGGGGUAGGGGCGAAAUCCUUUGAUCCCCGGAGGACCACCAGUGGCGAAGGCUGCUGACUAGAACACGUCUGACGGUCAGGGACGAAAGCUGGGGUAGCGAACCGGAUUAGAUACC
rnacentral:rRNA from 1 species